GACAGAGGGUGCGAACGUUGCUCGGAAUUACUGGGCGUAAAGCGCGUGUAGGCGGAUUGUUAAGUCAGAUGUGAAAUCCCCGGGCUCAACCUAGGAACUGCAUUUGAAACUGACAGUCUUGAGUGAUGGAGAGGGAAGUGGAAUUCUCGGUGUAGAGGUGAAAUUCAUAGAUAUCGAGAGGAACACCGGUGGCGAAGGCGGCUUCCUGGACAUCAACUGACGCUGAGACGCGAAAGCGUGGGGAGCAAACAGG
rnacentral:rRNA from 1 species